rnacentral:tRNA from 1 species
GCCUUUAUAGCUCAGUGGUAGAGCACUGGUCUCGUAAACCAGGGGUCAUGAGUUCUAACCUCACUGGAGGCA